UGCAGCUUCCUCACAAUCUGAGAGCGAGAGAGAGAGAGUGAGGGGGGAGAGAGCGAGAGAGAAAGUGAGGGGGGAGAGAAAGAGAACAGGUCAGGGGUUAGUGGUUAGGGGUUAGUGGUUAGGGGUGGAAGCAGGGCCGGCCCUGGGCAUAGGCGACAUAAGCGGUUGCUUAGGGCCCCUGGCCGCUACGGCCCCCAACCCCCAAAAAUACUUUAGGAACUCAGUCGGGGUCUAAACUUACUGUUGAGAGUUGUAAUAGUAGAACACGCAAGAGCUGUUGCUAGAACGUGCAAAAUUCUGACCGGAUUACGUAACGAACCAAAGCGUCCGUUGCUAUGCUGGUUGUUUGUUCUCUAUUUUACCUCGUAACGGUCGCGUCAUAUUAGGGUGUCUAGCUAUAAGUUAAACCUGAUCAAUCAAAUGGAUAGGUGUAAGCAAUUAUGGUUAUUCCAAAUGCCCUUAACUAGGUGUCUUCGCUAGACAGACACAGAGAGGGGGAGGAGGAAAGUGAGAAGAGAGAGGUGGGAAAAGAAUAGAAGACAGACAGAGAGACAGACGAAGAGAAACAGCGAGAAAAACAGCAGUGUAAAUGUACUUAGACUAGAGUAUUUCAACACCUCUUCUCUUCCAACUUGUUAAGCAAUCAUAACCAUAUCUAUGGCCAGCCGCACAGGAGGAUGGCCAGCCACACAGGAGGGUGAUCUUUACCAAGGAGGAGGAGGCGGCCGUGCUGACCAAGAUGCAUGCUGGGCAUUUCGGAGUGAAGCGCAUGAUUGCCAAAAUCAACCUACGCUUCUUCUGACAGGGAAUUGUCAAGGAGGUGUGAAAUAACCUUUUGUCUAUCAAUCACAUUCUAUUAUAUCAGAAAUGAUUAUGAUUUCAAUGAAUGUCAUAUCAGAGAGCACACAAUGUUUCAAUUUGUCACUUUGUGCUUAAAGGUCAGUACCCCGUCUAGUCAGGUCAGUACCCCGUCUAGUCAGGUCAGUACCCCGUCUAGUCAGGUCAGUACCCCGUCUAGUCAGGUCAGUACCCCGUCUAGUCAGGUCAGUACCCCGUCUAGUCAGGUCAGUACCCCGUCUAGUCAGGUCAGUACCCCGUCUAGUCAGGUCAGUACCCCGUCUAGUCAGGUCAGUACCCCGUCUAGUCAGGUCAGUACCCCGUCUAGUCAGGUCAGUACCCCGUCUAGUCAGGUCAGUACCCCGUCUAGUCAGGUCAGUACCCCGUCUAGUCAGGUCAGUACCCCGUCUAGUCAGGUCAGUACCCCGUCUAGUCAGGUCAGUACCCCGUCUAGUCAGGUCAGUACCCUGUCUAACCUGCCAGAAGUUUGAGAGGGCGAAGACUGUGGCGCCGGAGUUGAAGCACAUCAAAGCUGUUUCACCAUGGCACGUGAUCGGUGAGUGUCCCAAUUCAAAUUUUGCCCUGAUAAGUUGUUCUGUAAUGGUUGCUUUAUUUGAUCACAACAGUAUUAUAGAAUGUGUGUGUAUGUGUGUCCUUACAAAUAUGCACAUCUGCAUACUGUAUGAAACAGAUAUGGGUCAGAAUAAAGUCAUCUUCUCUCUAACACUUUAUAUGUUGGAGGUGGACCUCAUUGGACCCUUCACGAAAUCCAGGAAUGACAACAGCUGCUGUCUAACGGCGACCGAUCACUUUACCAAGAGGGUGGAGGCAAUACCCAUUAAGGACGAGACUGGCGAGGCCAACUCCAAGGCGAUGACGGACAUCUUCAACACCCAGACCGAGGUCAUGAACACUGGAACAGGUUACGGAUGUUAUAGAUUAUAUUCUGUCACCAAUUUUUUGUUUUGUUUAUUUUUUACAAUUUGUUUUUCCGUGGUACAUAAACAGACAUAUUUCAAUAUCUUCCAUUGUAGAUAGAUAUCCGUUUCCUCCAGGUUUGGUGAAUGGAUCAACCAGACCCACAAGACUGUCAUGGGCAAGUCCCUUGACUGGUACCAGGAAGGUUGGGAGAACUACUGGAUGGUCCCUUUGCACACAGCAGCAGCCUGCAGGCCUCCACCGAGUACGGACGGGAGUCGCAGCUGUUGACUGACGUAAAACAAUGCAAUUCUAUAUACAAUUAUUGCAUAUACUGUUGUUGUUUGUCUAUUGCUAUUUCUAUAUCAGGUACUUUCAGAUCACUGAAACCCCACCUGAUGUGGUGGCAGCUGUCGAACCAGAUCAGAACGCUCAAGGACUACAGUACCUUCAGGCACGGACCGAGGAGGAUGUGGAUGGUUUUGACCAGGGUUACCUCGGUGGAAGACAACAAUCUUCUACAGUCGGAGCACUUGGACGGUCGACCACUGAAAGCACUGACGCCCUACACUUCAGUGAAGCCCAAUAGACAAAGUAUGUUCAGCUUUGGUUGACAGAAACAAGAAGAAAAUAAAUAGUAGUUAUGCUAAACCUAUAGAAAUGUACUUCCCAAUAUCCUACUCUAUCCUACACUAUCAUUCUCUAUCCUACACUAUCAUUCUCUAUCCUACACUAUCAUUCUCUAUCCUACUCUAUCAUACUCUAUCAUACUGGGCACAUAAUAUGUGAGAUACACAGACUAACUAAAAACACUAGCACUUGCAGAACACUCAGAACAAAGAGAGCAUCAGCGCCUAGACUUUGCAGUCUCCCUCUUCAAGUCUCCCUUCCGAGACUGACUGUCUGUUGAGAACAGGUGACAGGCAGAACCUCCCACCCAUACAGCAACCCCUCCUCUAUAUUCCACACACCAGAAGUCACUAUUUUAGUCUAUGAUUGCCAUGUUAGUGUACAAAGAAAUCUGUGAAGAUAAAUGAAUGACACAACUCUACCAAAAACUAUCGAAGUUUAUGUAUUAAAAUCUUAAAUCUUGCCAGGUUGGUUUUCACGGCUGUUUCACAAGGUGUUCAUUAUUGUAAGUUGUAAGAUAUGCUUUGAUGUUAUUUAUUUGUUCCACAUUAUUCAUUGUUGUGUCCUAGGACCUACAAUAGAUACAUAUAUAUUCAACCACAAGGGUGUACUAAUGAGCUAUGUGAGAUAUAUUAUUUCAGCUCAGAUAAGGGAAGGGCAGGAUCAAAUUAAAACAUGACGGCCAGACAAGCCAGUGUAUGAACCAAAUGGAUUUGCAUAUGAAUGGAGUGGAAAUUAGCUGACUUCCUGGUCUGUAAGGUAAGUAAUUUUAAUGUGUCAAGCAGAUUACACAUUUUAUUUGACUUUUCCAAAACGUAGUAAUGUUUAAGACAUGGAUUUCAUGUUGUAAUGUUAACAAGGUACCCAAAAGUAGUUUGAAUUAAUGUUUUCAUUUUGUCAGCUAAAUUAAACUUGUUUAACUUCUCUUGGGUAGGGGGCAGCAUUCGGAAUUUUGGAUGAAAAGCAUGCCCAAAUUAAACUACCAGCUACUCAUCCCCAGAAGAUAAGAUAUGCAUAUUAUUAGUAGAUUUGGAUAGAAAACACUCUGAAGUUUCUAAAACUGUUUGAAUCAUGUCUGUGAGUAUAACAGAACUUAUUUAGCAGGCGAAACCCAGAGGACAAACCAUUCAGAAUUUUUUUUUUGAGGUCACUCUCUUUCCAAUGAGUUUUCAUUGGGAAACCAGAUUUCUAAAGGGACGUUCUUGUAGUUCCUACCGCUUCCACUGGAUGUCAACAGUCUUUAGAAAUUGGUUGAGGUUAUUCCUUUGUGUAAUGAAGAAGUACGGCCAACUUGAAGGAGGGUCACUCGAAGUGUCCUGUUUGUUAGAAGCGCGUGACCAGAAAGCUAGCUACAGUUGGUUUUAAUCCUGUAUUGAACACAGAUCAUCCCGUCUUCAAUUUUAUCGAUUAUUUACGUUAAAAAAUACCUAAAGUUGUAUUACAAAUGUAGUUUUAAUUUUUUUGGCAAAGUUUACAGGUAACCUUUGAGAUAUUUUGUAGUCACGUUUCACAAUUUGGAACCGGUGUUUUUCUGGAUCAAACGUGCCAAAUAAAUGGACAUUUUGGAUAUAUAUCGACGGAAUUAAUCGAACAAAAGGACCAUUUGUGAUGUUUAUGGGACAUAUUGGAGUGCCAACAACAGAAGCUCGUCAAAGGUAAGGCAUGAAUUAUAUUCUUAUUUCUGCGUUUUGUGUCGUGCCUGCAGGGUUGAAAUAUGCUUCUCUCACUUUGUUUACAAUGGUGCUAUCCUCAGAUAAUAGCAUCGUUUGCUUUCGCCGAAAAGCCUAUUUGAAUUCUGACAUGUUGGCUGGAUUCACAACCAGUGUAGCUUUAAUUUGGCAUCUUUCAUGUGUGAUUUAAUGAAAGUUAGAUUUUUAUAGUAAUUAAUUAGAAUUUGGUCGCUCUGCAUUUUCUCUGGCUUUAUGCCAAGUGAGACAGUAGCGUCCCGCCUAAACUCUGAUUUUUGGUUAUAAAUAUGAACUUUACCGAACAAAACAUACAUUUAUUGUGUAACAUGAAGGCCUAUGAGUGACAUCUGAUGAAAAUCAUCAAAGGUUAGUGAUUCAUUUUAUCUCUAUUUCUGCUUUUUGUUACUCCUCUCUUUGGCUGGAAAAAUGGCUGUCUUUUUCUGUGACUUGGCUCUAACCUAACAUAAUCGUUUGGUGUGCUUUUGUCGUAAAACCUUUUUGAAAUCGGACACUUUGGCUGGAUUUACAACAAGCGUAUCUUUAAAAUAGUGUAAAAUACUUGUAUGUUUGAGGAAUUUAAAUUAUGGGAUUUCUGUUGUUUUGAAUUUGGCGCCCUGCAGUUUCACUGGCUGUUGACGAAGUGGGACGCUACCGUCCCACAUACCCUUGUGAGGUUAAACAGUGAAAUUGCUGCGGAAAUCCGCCUUGUUUGCAUAGCGAUGAUGAAAAGAACGUAAUUUAGGCUGUAAUUAGGUAAUCCCACCGUUGAUAUAGCAACGGACGCUAAUAGUUUAUCGAAUUCCAUUGUGACGCAGAAGGGGACACUAUUUGGCCAGGGGACAUUAUUUGCCAUGACAUAUCCCCAAAAAGCUAGGC